rnacentral:rRNA from 1 species
AUGGAUCCAUCCGGCCUCGUCGUUCCCCAGCCUCGCCCGCAUCAGGGUCCGCCGGAUCCUGGCCAUGCCCUCGCCGGAGAACACCGUCGCGCGCCUGGUUCAGCUCGCCGUCGUCCUUCAUCCCGCAGCGCCCGAGCCCCAAUGCCCUGCUUGCCUCCUCUACUACGUUCGAGCAGGGAGGACGACGAGUGCUCGACCGGAGCCCCGUUCUCCCUCCUGCGCUCGACCUCGUCCCCAACUACCUGCAUCCAGGACCCGGCCGCCUCCACCUCCGUCGGAGCACCACCGGGCCAGCAGCGCCCCGCGCCCGUCCUCGCGACCAGCUGCGUUGCCGUCGACCACCAGCCCCAGGCCCAUGCUCGACAGCCCUGCCCCUCUUUCUGCUCCUCUACUUCCCCUCUCUCUCACCCGACUCCCUCCCUCUGUUUGCCUACAGAGUUCGUCUGCUGCCAUGGAUGCCUCCUCGAGCUCCCGUUCGCCUCGCGGUCGCCGGGAACCGAUGCCCCGUGGCCGGAUCCGUCAAGCUCCGCCUCCCUGCACCGAGUCCCUCGCCGGAGUGAACUCGUCCCCAAGCCCUCAUCGCCGGCCUCCUGUGCUGCUGUUUCUGUUCUUCAGAAACGAGAGCAGCAGCGCUCGCCCGGUUCAGUCCUGAACGUUGACCGCGCUUCUGCUGCGUGCCCGAUCGCCCUGCCUCCGCUUCGAUCUGCCUGCCAGGCCCGCAACCGCAGCGCCAGGCCCAGCCGGGCCACCUCCUCCGCACCGCGCCAGCCAGCUCCGGUGGCCCAUCUCGCACCAGCCUGCCUCCUCCUCCUUCACGGGCCGCAGCCCAGGGGUGAGCCGACCCCCAGCGCCCCCUCCUCUAUUUUUUUCUCUGUUGGGCUUGCCCAGUUUCAGCCCGAUCAUGUUUUUUUUGUCGUCCUGCGAUUUUGUCUAAUAUUCCAGAGAUUGCAGUUUUGCAGAAUAACCCCCUAG